GAUAACUGUCUUGUUGCAACAAAGUGCUCACAGUGAUGUCACUUUUUGAUCCUUUGAUGUCAGCUCUUUCUAUCAUUGUGAAGUAAAGUUCACCAAGCAUUGUAUUGUUCGUCCACUUAUAGGGAAUGUAAGCUAGGAUUAAAAUGUCUUAAAACAGGUU
rnacentral:ncRNA from 1 species